rnacentral:rRNA from 1 species
GACGAACGCUGGCGGCGUGCUUAACACAUGCAAGUCGAGCGAUGAAAGCCUUAUGAACUAUUCGUAGUGCUUGGUGCCGGAUUAGCGGCGGACGUGUGAGUAACGCGUGAGAAACCUGCCUUAAACAACGGGAUAGCCUCGGGAAACCGGGAUUAAUACCGUAUGAGACCCCGCCUUCCCCUGAAGACGCGGUUAAAGAUUUAUCGGUUUAAGAUGGGCUCGCGUCUGAUUAGCUAGUUGGUGAGAUAAAAGCCCACCAAGGCAACGAUCAGUAACCGGCUUGAGAGAGUGAACGGUCACAUUGGAACUGAGACACGGUCCAAACUCCUACGGGAGGCAGCAGUGGGGAAUAUUGCACAAUGGGGGAAACCCUGAUGCAGCGACGCCGCGUGAGCGAUGAAGGAAUUCGUUUCGUAAAGCUCUGUCCAAGGGGAAGAUAAUGACAGUACCCUUGGAGGAAGCCCCGGCUAAAUACGUGCCAGCAGCCGCAGUAA